GUGUCAGCAGCCGCGGUAAUACGUAGGCAGCAAGCGUUGUUCGGAAUUAUUGGGCGUAAAGAGCUCGUAGGCGGUUUGCCAAGUUUGGUGUGAAAUCUCCCGGCUUAACUGGGAGGGUGCGCCGAAUACUAGCAGGCUAGAGUACGGGAGAGGAAAGCGGAAUUCCUGGUGUAGCGGUGAAAUGCGUAGAUAUCAGGAGGAACACCUGCGGUGUAGACGGCUUUCUGGACCGAAACUGACGCUGAGGAGCGAAAGCGUGGGUAGCAAACAGGAUUAGAUACCCUGGUAGUCC
rnacentral:rRNA from 1 species